rnacentral:tRNA from 1 species
GGAUUGUGGCUCAGCGGUAGAGCGCUCACCUAGCACAUGUGAGGCCCUGGGUUUGAUCCUCAGCACCA